rnacentral:rRNA from 1 species
GCGAUAAAWGARGGGGUGAAAGGCCCCCUCGCCGUAAGCCCAAGGUUUCCUACGCAACGUUCAUCGGCGUAGGGUGAGUCGGCCCCUAAGGCGAGGCAGAAAUGCGUAGCUGAUGGGAAGCAGGUCAAUAUUCCUGCACCAUUGUUAGAUGCGAUGGGGGGACGGAUCGCGGAAGGUUGUCCGGGUGUUGGAAGUCCCGGUCGCUGCAUUGGAGAAGGCGCUUAGGCAAAUCCGGGCGCGUAAUUCAAGGGUGUGGCGCGAGCUCCUUCGGGAGCGAAGCAAUUGGAAGUGGUUCCAAGAAAAGCCUCUAAGCUUCAGUCUAACGAUGACCGUACCGCAAACCGACACAGGUGGGCGAGAUGAGUAUUCUAAGGCGCUUGAGAGAACUCGGGAGAAGGAACUCGGCAAAUUGGUACCGUAACUUCGGGAUAAGGUACGCCCUUGUAGCUUGACUGGCCUGCGCCAGGAGGGUGAAGGGGUUGCAAUAAACUGGUGGCUGCGACUGUUAAUAAAAACAACAGCACUCUGUACAAACAACGAAAGUGGAACGUAUAGGG